CUUUUACCCUUUUACUCUCAAAAUUUGCCCCCAAAUUCUUUUUCCUUUUCAUUUCACUACACUGAACUCACCCACCAUAGCUACUCCUUUUCCCUCGAUUUGUUAGGGUUUUGGAGAAACAAAUGGAAGUUGAAGAGAAGAAGAAGAAGAAGAAGAAGAAGAAGAAGAGGGGGGAGGAGGAAGAAGAAGAGAGUGAAGAUGAAGGAACUAAAAAGGUCAAAUGUAGUAGUAGAAAGGGAAGUUCUAGGAAAUCUGGUCGAGAUUCAGCUGAGAAGAAAGAGCCAGUGACGCUUAGUAGUGAUAGGCCUACAAGGGAAAGGAAAGUCGUAGAAAGGUUUUCAGAUCCUCUUGUUGCAAGGUCUUCCUCGUUUAAAACUGUCAAUUGGAAAG
rnacentral:lncRNA from 1 species